rnacentral:rRNA from 1 species
UGGGGAAUAUUGCACAAUGGAGGGAACUCUGAUGCAGCGACGCCGCGUGAGUGAUGAAGGAAUUCGUUUCGUAAAACUCUGUUCUAUGGGAAGAAAAGGACUGUACCAUAGGAGAAAGCUCCGGCUAAAUACGUGCCAGCAGCCGCGGUAAUACGUAUGGAGCGAGCGUUGUCCGGAAUUAUUGGGCGUAAAGGGUGCGCAGGCGGCUUUACAAGUUGGAUGAGAAAUAUUGUGGCUCAACCACAAACGUGCAUCCAAAACUGCAAAGCUUGAGUUAAGGAGAGGUAAGUGGAAUUCCUGGUGUAGCGGUGGAAUGCGUAGAUAUCAGGAGGAAUACCGGUGGCGAAGGCGACUUACUGGACUUAAACUGACGCUCAGGCACGAAAGCGUGGGGAGCAAACAGG